AUUGAACGCUGGCGGCAUGCCUUACACAUGCAAGUCGAACGGCAGCACGGGUGCUUGCACCUGGUGGCGAGUGGCGAACGGGUGAGUAAUACAUCGGAACAUGUCCUGUAGUGGGGGAUAGCCCGGCGAAAGCCGGAUUAAUACCGCAUACGAUCUACGGAUGAAAGCGGGGGACCUUCGGGCCUCGCGCUAUAGGGUUGGCCGAUGGCUGAUUAGCUAGUUGGGGGGGUAAAGGCCUACCAAGGCGACGAUCAGUAGCUGGUCUGAGAGGACGACCAGCCACACUGGGACUGAGACACGGCCCAGACUCCUACGGGAGGCAGCAGUGGGGAAUUUUGGACAAUGGGCGAAAGCCUGAUCCAGCAAUGCCGCGUGUGUGAAGAAGGCCUUCAGGGUUGUAAAGCACUUUUGUCCGGAAAGAAAUCCUUGGCCCUAAUACGGUCGGGGGAUGACGGUACCGGAAGAAUAAGCACCGGCUAACUACGUG
rnacentral:rRNA from 1 species